GGCAACUUGGCCGAGUGGUCUAAGGCGCUGGAAUUAGGAUAUCUUCCACAUCCAGUCCGAAAGGGCGUGAGUUCGAACCUCACAGUUGUCA